GUCGCAAGACCAAAGUGGGGGACCUUCGGGCCUCAUGCCAUCAGAUGUGCCCAGAUGGGAUUAGCUAGUAGGUGGGGUAACGGCUCACCUAGGCGACGAUCCCUAGCUGGUCUGAGAGGAUGACCAGCCACACUGGAACUGAGACACGGUCCAGACUCCUACGGGAGGCAGCAGUGGGGAAUAUUGCACAAUGGGCGCAAGCCUGAUGCAGCCAUGCCGCGUGUGUGAAGAAGGCCUUCGGGUUGUAAAGCACUUUCAGCGGGGAGGAAGGCGGUGGAGGUUAAUAACCUCAUCGAUUGACGUUACCCGCAGAAGAAGCACCGGCUAACUCCGUGCCAGCAGCCGCGGUAAUACGGAGGGUGCAAGCGUUAAUCGGAAUUACUGGGCGUAAAGCGCACGCAGGCGGUCUGUCAAGUCGGAUGUGAAAUCCCCGGGCU
rnacentral:rRNA from 1 species